AGCAUUUCCGGUGUAGAGGUCACAGGCGUGAAACGAGGCACGAUGAUGUGAACUUCUCACUGCAGUAAACUGAACCUCAAAGCAAAUAUAUGGAGUUCCCAGGUCAAAGACAACCUGAUAAUUUAGUCGCUCCAACCCUGAGAGGAAGAAUGGACCGCGUGUUACCCUCUGAACGUCGCACAUCUAAGUGGGCAGGUCUCCCCAUGGAGUCCAGAUGAGCUGGGCGGGGUGUUCGUCGUACAGCAUGAGCAAUGGAUUGCGUAACGGAGGGAUCUCAGCCUGGAAACAUGAACCCACGUUGAUCCGUCUACACA